rnacentral:rRNA from 1 species
AACGAACGCUGGCGGCAGGCUUAACACAUGCAAGUCGAGCGCCUCGCAAGAGGAGCGGCAGACGGGUGAGUAACGCGUGGGAACGUACCCUUAUCUUCGGAAUAGCUCUGGGAAACUGGAAGUAAUACCGAAUGUGCCCUUAGGGGGAAAGAUUUAUCGGAUAAGGAUCGGCCCGCGUUGGAUUAGCUAGUUGGUGGGGUAAAGGUCUACCAAGGCGACGAUCCAUAGCUGGUCUGAGAGGAUGAUCAGCCACAUUGGGACUGAGACACGGCCCAAACUCCUACGGGAGGCAGCAGUGGGGAAUAUUGGACAAUGGGCGCAAGCCUGAUCCAGCCAUGCCGCGUGAGUGAUGAAGGCCUUAGGGUUGUAAAGCUCUUUCACCGGAGAAGAUAAUGACGGUAUCCGGAGAAGAAGCCCCGGCUAACUUCGUG